rnacentral:rRNA from 1 species
CCUACGGGUGGCAGCAGUGAGGCAUAUUGGUCAAUGGGCUUACGCCUGAACCAGCCAAGUCGCGUGAGGGAAGACUGCCCUAUGGGUUGUAAACCUCUUUUGUCAGGGAGCAAUUGGCGCUACGUGUAGCGUUAUCGAGAGUACCUGAAGAAUAAGCCACGGCUAACUACGUGCCAGCAGCCGCGGUAAUACGUAGGUGGCAAGCGUUGUCCGGAUUUACCUGGUGUAAAGGGCGUGCAGCCGGGAAGACAAGGCAGAUGUGAAAUCCCGCGGCUCAACCGCGGAACUGCAUUUGAAACUGUUUUUCUUGAGUACCGGAGAGGUCAUCGGAAUUCCUUGUGGAGCGGUGAAAUGCGUAGAUAUAAGGAAGAACACCAGUGGCGAAGGCGGAUGACUGGACGGCAACUGACGGUGAGGCGCGAAAGCGUGGGGAGCAAACAGGAUUAGAUACCCUUGUAGUC